rnacentral:lncRNA from 1 species
ACUGGAGUUAUCAGUGGUUGAAUUAGCUCUACAUAAGCCUCUGUGCUCUCAGAAGUGGCAAUACAAGGUCUUGAUAAGGGGUAAUUGGUUGUUUCUCAGCAGGUAGCCUGGUUAGUGCUAAGUUCCAUGAUGCCAUGGAUGGACUUCUAGUAUGAACUAAUACGUGGCUGCCCGGCUUAAAAUUAACUUGACCAUCUCUUUCCAAUGCUGCAGUAGCUACUGUGUCUUCAUUUAAUAAUUACUGUGGCUUGCUUACCUAAAAUUUGUUUCUGAAUCCUCUCUGUGUCUUCCCUCACUACAAAUUAAUAAUAGUUAAUGCUCGUUAAUACAAUAAGGUCUAUUUUUCCUUUAGGAGCAUAGAAUUUAAUUUCUAUAGCCCAAGUCCAUCUUGUGUAAAAAUUAUGUUCCCAGAGUUUACCUACCCCUUCCUUUCAGCUGACGGGACUGACUUUGAAUGUUUCAUCCUUUAGAUCACCACCUAGAUCACCACCAUUGAAGAUACCUGAAAAUCAAUAGAUGGAUAUCUUGCUAUACUGUAUGAAGUAGAAUGAGUUAAGUGUGGUGUCAAGGAGUGUGUAGACCGUGAAGGACUGCUUGUCACCAAAUGGACGUGUCUGUGCUAGUUCAGAAUCUCCUUCAAGCUACGUUUGAAAUAUUUCUCUGUUGCAAAUCAAUCUUUACAUCUGUGAAAGCAAUCUACAAUUGUCUCCUGUAUUUCACAACUUGGUAUGUAUAAAAAAGUGAGUUUUUGUGACGUUGGUUUUUACAAAUACUCAGAAAAAGAGAAGAAAUAAUGCACAGGGGAAAAGGAAAUGGGGAACAAGAUGAGAACAAAAUGAUAGUUUUUGGAAUCUGUGGAAAAGGGAGAGAGAGAAGACAUCCAUGAAAGAUGGUUCUAGAAACUAAAAACUUGCUGAAUCCUAGAAAGGAUGUGCAGGAUGUCACAAAAUAAUUUUUAAUCUUUGUUACCUCUCUCUCUCCCCCAGUAACCGUCCCCCCCCCCCAGAUAUGUAUUCCACAUUCGAUGUAUUCCCUGUGCCCUUAUCUCUCUUCCUGAGAUGCUAUAAGAGCUAACAAACUUAGCACUGAAGACCCACAGGCUGGGAUAUCCAUGUUUCACAGCAUGAGCAGUUCACAG